ACACUAUUUAACAGUUUCACACUCGAUCUCAAAUAGGCUAUUCAUGUGGUAUGAUUCCCAAGUCUGCUGUGAGCAUUCAGCCGUGACCACAAAAAACUCCACUGCUUUCAAGCUUCCCAUUGACUAAUUCAUUACUGUGAACUAUAAAAAAUAAGAUCAAUAGCUAUCUUAAGUACUUUCUCCUUGAAGAUUCAUUUGCAUUCAACAAACAAAGUAAAAAGAAAAAAUAGAGAAGACUUCAUUCUGAUUUUACUAUACUCUCCCACAGGAGCAGGCAUGAAACCUUAUGAAGCUGCCAAAAUCUCAGCAGUUCCGUAUAAAUCCACUGGGCUCUGUUUUCCUGUCAAGCAAGCAUCCAUGUUGUUUCAUCAAGUCGUCCUGCGAUAGAACAACCAUCCUGCAAUAAAACUUGGACACAUUUUAUAAAUCCAACGAACAGGCUCUCAGCUUUCCAAGUUCAAUAUAAAAAGUAAACAUCUCGACUACUUUUUUAGAAACAUCUCAAAAAAAUGCAGUUAGCUCCUACCAAAAUCACACCACAAAACCAUGGAGAGGGUCUGAUGAUAAAUAAACAUUUUCCAAUGGACAGAAGCCAAUUGUAGUUACUACAAUUUCAAGCAAAUCAAUUUGGAUCAAUACAAGCAAAUAAGAGUCUAAAAAGUAGCAGAGAAUAAGGGAAAUAUGUUGGUCUUGCAGAAACAAUGAGGAGGUUUCAAUUGAUCCUAUCCAGGGCUCUGUCUAGCAUGGCUCUAAACGUCUAAGAUUACACUAGAAAAAAGGUAGGAAUGUUAACAGCAAGCCUGCCUUCAUAAUAUUACUACCAUGCAGCUGAUCUGACGUAAACAACUGAGACCAUGUCAGCUGCAUGAGGGUACAUCCAUUUCAAGAUAGUAGGGGUCUCUCAUUGGUAUACACAAUUUUAUGCAGGCCCAGACAAAGAUGAGUUACCUGCAUGCAUCUCAAAUGCAGGCUUCACCUGAAAAUGACAAAUGUCGGGCAUUGAGGUGCCCUAUAACCAUGAAAGGCACUUUGGAGCUGAUUCAGUCCAAUGUUUAACCAAACACUACUAGUGUGUAGUCCAAACGCAAGCACCAGACUACGGUAGAAACUCUUUUUAAACACGCAGAAAGCUUUUUUUCAUUUUUUCCCCCCAAAUAACUUUGUACCCACAAACUCCAGACAUNNNNNNNNNNNNNNNNNNNNGUAUACACAAUUUUAUGGAGGCCCAGACGAAGAUGAGUUACCUGCAUGUAUCUCAAAUGCAGGCUUCACCUGAAAAUGACAAAUGUCGGGCAUUGAGGUGCCCUAUAAUCAUGAAAGGCACUUUGGAGCUGAUUCAGUCCAAUGUUUAACCAAACACUACUAGUGUAGAGUCCAAACGCAAGCACCAGACUACGGUAGAAACCCUUUUUAAACACGCAGAAGCCUUUUUUCAUUUUUUUUCCCCAAAUAACUUUGUACCCACAAACUCCAGACAUGUAGAAAAGGAGGAGCAUCUUUUUCUAACUGUAGGCUAAGCAUCAACUAUCCAUCUUAUGGAGGGAACUCACUAGUUUCCCUAGUGCGCAUGGCCCUUUUUAGUUCAUAAGAAGUCUGCUUGCAUUGGUAACCAUCAUGCUUAACAGCUCAGCUGAGCCCUUCAUGCAAACUUUCACAUCCAACUACAGUUGGUAAUCUCCAAAUGAAUCAUAUUGCUCGCAUGAACUUGACUCCAUCAGUAUCACAUUUUUUCACAUAAUUCUCUUGGGGAAAAAAUUGAAUAUAAAUACCCAAGUAUCACAUUAAUUGAUUUAUGAAACCACGGAUCUCGCCAGCCAUACCAAAGGUCUUGCCUCUAUUUCUCUUAAAUCCUAAGUGCCUACACCUCCUUAAGCCAUUGGAUCUCUUUGCCCAUAACUUCCAUAAGCCANNNNNNNNNNNNNNNNNNNNNNNNNNGACACCCAGGCUAAACUCAACCACAAAAUCAUGGCCCUCAAAUUAACUCGAAGAAUCGCCAAGGCAAGCUUUAUUGAUCAACUACAUAGAAUGGAUAUUUCCCACGAGGUUUGCACCUACUUUCCUUAGGUUGUUACAUAGAGCACUAGCUCAACUCCAAGCCUUUCCCUCCUUUCUUUCUUUCGAAGCAAUCAAUGCGGCUAAGCAAACAAAGUAACCCUACCUAAGAGGGGCCCCACCAGACCUCUGAGGGUUGAGAGGUCAGUCAAAUCUUGAUCCGGUUGCUCCAGUUGAGCUAAUUGAGAGAAUGGCCUCAGCUGGCCUAAUAACUAGAAAAUUACUUCCUUGCAUUUGAUAAAUCGCAUCCUUCUCAGUCUCGUCCAACAAAAACACUAUCAAGACCUCAAUCACAGUGCACAAGGAGCCAAAGCAUACAUCACCAUGUGCUCACCUAUACGUAAUUGAACACCGGAAACGAUGCCCAUAGCUCUGGAUUGAGAGGUUAUUUCAUUACAUGAUCCAACCAUAUGGCAGCCAUGGGAUGCUAGAUCAAUCAUUCCACACCUUUGAGGAGAUGGAAGAUCAUGGCAUCCAUGCCACCACCAGACCACUAGAGGAGUUGAUUCGGACACGUAUACGGAACAAGAACAUCGAGAAAGUGAAUCAUGAAUUUCGCGAACUCCCACAAAUACAUGGAAACGGACUUGUUGCCACGUAUACCAUAUUGUGUAGGUGCAUAUGGCAGCCUAGGCUCGGCAGCAUCUGGAUGUGCUAGUUUGGAAGAGAUGUGUACAAAGGAGGGUUGCUUGCUUAUUGAAUGUGCAUAUAAUAUCCUGAUCCAUGGAUUUUUUCAAAUUAAGAUAUAGAUAAGAAAGUUAUGAGACUAAUCGCAAAGCAUGGCUGCCCACCAAUGGAGUUUGCACAUAAUCAAAGGAUUAAAAGAAUAUGCAAAAAUUAAUAAAAAUGGAUAGAAGCAAGAGCCGUGAUGGUUGAGGUUAAAAGGCAUAAAGCCCAAAAGUGACCUGUGUGUCCACUUGAAUCAUGGGUUCCGCAAGGUUGGAAACUUCAAAGAGGCUAAGAAGGUUACAGAUGAGAUUGCAAAGAAAGGGAAAGUUCGAAAAGGUAUAUUCAAUUGUUGUUCGGUGAAACAUCUUUUGAUGAGACAUCAAUGGGGAAGAGCAUGGUGAAUGUUUUGGCAUCUCAAAGAUUAUAAACAAUGAAGAACUUGCAAGAAUACUUUGAUCUACCAAUCAAACAGUGCCAGCACAAUGUUCAAAUCCUUGAAGAGUGUUUCAACAAUUGUUAUUGACUUUUCCUCUAAGUUAUAUCCAUAUCAUUCUUAAGUAAAGAUCUAUGAAGAUUUGGUUACUAUGUCAUUGUUUAGAGUCAUAAGGUUAAAAUUGAAUUGAUAACAAAAAGAAUGUUACUUUUAUUGCUUUCACAGUUAUGAUAUUGAUGUUUAAUUCUGCAUAAUUGUUUUUGGUGCUACUUUUUGAUGAGCCAUCUAGUGUUGUCGCAUAUUAUAUUUGCACAGCUCAAAGCACAAUAGCAAAAAGAUUUUUCAUAAAAUCUAAAGAGCAAAUUGCUAGAAACUUGGCGGCUUCCAUUUGGCAUCACUUAACAAUUUUCAGCUAUGAAAACAAAAUCGGUUUCUAUUAAAAAAAACUCGAAACUCAAAUCUUGUUUGGAAGUCAGUUGGGUUGUGGCAGUGGUAGUGGUGCGGUCACGGCCAGUGAGCAGCAGUGGUGCCGGAAGUGAUGGUGUUGGUGGCGGUGGGGUGAUAGGCAAGCGGUAGUGGGUGCUAGUGGGGUCCAACGGGAGUGGUGGCAAGGAUGGUGAAAGCAGGGGCAGCCCAAUGCAUUUGGAAGCCUAAGGCGAACUCACUAAGAAAGAUCUUUUUUUUAAAAAAACUAAAAAUUUUUAAUAAGUGCAAAAUACUCGGACCUAUCUCGCCGACCUGAACGGGUAACUAUUGAUCUUCCACAACCAUCCAGCUUAGUCAGCAUCGAGAUUGGGCUGGAUUUCAGCGGCAACAGUAUCCAACUAGAAAUUUUAAACAUGUCUCGAGGAUAUCAAAUUUGCAAUCCUAUUAGGUUCCAAAAAAUUUAACCUGAAUUCGAAUCGGGUAUACAAAGAUACUACUUUUUUUUUGCUAAAGCACAAAGAUACUACUUUGAUGUAGCCAUUAUACACAUGUGUGCAUGUACGUCCGAGUUACUCUUAGAGAACACUAAUACUAGGAAAUCUGCAGUACGAUAAGUUAGCCAUUAAACAGAGAAUAAUCUAUGUAUUAAAAUUAACGGAAGAGUGGACUAAGAGGUCAAAUUCAAUUAAGUAUAAACAACUGAAUCAUCUCGGUGUCACAUGAGAGAUGUCAGCCUGAUGACUAGGGAACGCAGGGACCAGAGGUGAGACAUCUUGCUGCAUCAUUGAUCUAUAAAAUUUAUAACCUAGCAACACCAAUCCAGAUUUUUAAUCCAAGUGGAAAAAUCAACUCGUUCACACAAUUUGCCAAACAGUUGGUGGACCACGAAAAGGCUCACGAUGUAAGAUCAAGUAAAGCCAAGCCAAGCCUCGGCCUGGCCACUGGACAGAUGAAUGGUUAUCACAAAAAGAGUUCGGAGAACGAGACAAGAAGAAAAAAAGGGCAUACCUUGCGAGUGGAAAUAAGGUCCGGGGAUGAGUGGCCUCGACUUCGGUGGAUUCGUCUUGUUCUCAGGCCUAACUAGAAACGACUACAGAUCAGCGGAUGGGAUUGGGAGCGGCCGAGGACUUGGGUAAGAGAUUGGAGAUGUGAUUUUGGCGGAAGGCUUCUGGCUCCUGGGACCCAGACGAGAAGACGCCGGACAGGCCCGAACUGCCCGCUGCCGAAGUGGGAAUGUGGGAUUUGGGAACGGCGAGUCGGCGAACAGAGGCGGUAAGAGAUGUCUUUGAUGAACAGUGAACUGAUCGAGGGUCUGGUUCCCCGGCUGCGGUAGCCCGUAGCCGCGGUACUCCUUGUAACCCCGGCCGGAGACGACCUGCUGGCUCGCCCCUGGGGCGAUGGGAAGCAGCCCUUGGGGCGAUGGGAAGCAGCCUCUUGCAGUGCGAUUGCGAUGGAAAGUAGCCGUGGCACUAUAGCAGCGAAGAAAAUUUAAGAUUUUACUGUAGCUCUUCCUUGAACCUAAGCGGUGGCCUUCCUUUGGGCCAGGGAUUAGGCGACCGCCUAGGUCGGGCCGGCCCUGGGUGAAAGAGGCAGCGGUGGUGGCAAUGGGCGG
rnacentral:lncRNA from 1 species